GCCUGGCAUCACCUGGAAACGUUCGCACGCUGCACAGAGAUAACUUUAUUCCAAGGAAGCAUUUUCAGCAAUUUAAAACAAAAAUUAAAUUUUAAUGAGGUCCAGUUGUUUGCCAGGCCCUCUACGAUAGCAAAUCUCAUCUGCAUUGCAAAAUCCCAAUGCGAUAGGUCCCGCUGCCAAACACGCAGGAAGAGGCACAGCUCCACAGAUGAACCUACAGAUGAGUUCAGCGUGUGCAUUGGAGAGCACCUCAAGGAAAACGCGGGGACAGGGCUGGCUUGCUGGGAACCCAGAGCUGCCUGCCAGAGCCACUGGCUUUCCCCGGGAGUCAGUUGUGAUGAGUGGCGGGUACCCUGGUGCCUAGAGAGGACAGUGCCACUUGCCUCUUGAGGGGGACUCUGAUCCGGUGGUGGGGCGCAGCCAUGCCUCUGGCGUACCUUGAGGUCCCAAAGCCUGCCCUACAGCACUUCCCUGUCCUGGAGACACCCAUCCUAUGGACGUAGAUCAGCAGUAAAGUGCAC
rnacentral:lncRNA from 1 species